rnacentral:rRNA from 1 species
AGUGAACGCUGGCGGUAGGCCUAACACAUGCAAGUCGAACGGCAGCACAGUAAGAGCUUGCUCUUACGGGUGGCGAGUGGCGGACGGGUGAGGAAUACAUCGGAAUCUACUUUUUCGUGGGGGAUAACGUAGGGAAACUUACGCUAAUACCGCAUACGACCUACGGGUGAAAGCAGGGGAUCUUCGGACCUUGCGCGAUUGAAUGAGCCGAUGUCGGAUUAGCUAGUUGGCAGGGUAAAGGCCCACCAAGGCGACGAUCCGUAGCUGGUCUGAGAGGAUGAGCAGCCACACGGGGACUGAGACACGGUCCAGACUCCUAGAGGAGGCAGCAGUGGUGGAUACUGCACAAUGGGCGAAAGCAUGAUCCAGCAAUGCCGCGGGAGUGAUGAAGGCCUGAGAGAAAUAAAGCUCGUUUAACCGCGACGAUAAUGACAGUACCGGAAGAAUAAGCACCGGCUAACUCCGUG